AUCCACAGUUAUACCACCCUGAACACUCCUGAUCUUGAUUGAUCUCAGAAGCUAAGUAGGGCCAGGCCUGGUUAGUACUUGGAAGGAAAAACAUUUUUAAAAGCUCAACCAAAUGCUAAGGGAAGGGGAAA
rnacentral:rRNA from 1 species